rnacentral:ncRNA from 1 species
UUCUUAUCAAGAGCAGGCGGAGGGACUAGCCCGAUGAAGCCCGGCAACCGGCGAAAAGCACGGUGCUAAUUCUUGCGGAAACAUACGUUUCUGGGAGAUGAGAG